UUGAUACGAAAUGUCAUAACAAGAAGGC
rnacentral:sRNA from 1 species